UUAAGUAAAUAUAUCACUAAAAAUAUAGAACCAAACCAAUAACCUUACAACCCCUCUCUCUAAAAAAACUUGGGUUCACAAUCUCAGUGCUGAUGAUGGUUUGAAGACGAUGACGACAACGACUUGGUAGUGACGGCGACGACGAGUUGGUGGAGAAACCUGCCGGGAUCAUUGCUCUUCUUGAUGAAGUUCGUAUGUUCCCAAGAUCAAUUCAUGAGACCUUCGCUGAAAGCUAUAUCAGACCUUUAAAAAUCAUAAGCGGUUCAGCAAGCCAAAGUUGUCUCGGACUGCUUUUACUGUUUGCCACUAUGCUGGUGAUGUCACAUACCAAACUGAGUUCUUUUUGGAUAAGAACAAGGAUUAUGUAGUUCCAUAGCACCAAGCAACACUUAUUGCUUCAAAGUGCCACUUUGUUUCUGGCUUGUUUCCACCUUUACCUGAAGAUUCUUCUAAACAGACCAAGUUCUCCUCUAUUGGUGCUCGAUUUAAAAUAAACUUUGCUCGUUCAAAAAGGAGAAACAUACCAAAUAUCCAUAUCAUCUCGGGGCAGCUUAGUUCGAAAAAAGACACUCAUCGUUAUAAGUGCCAUUACAGCGAGCUGAGAAAACGUAAGAGAAACAAAGAGAUCAUUACAAUUGGUACAUAUUCAUGGGACAAGCCAACAUUUCCCAAGAAAGAACAAAAUUCUAAAUUAUUUUCAAUAAAGACAACUACUGCACAACUAAUGCACAACAUCACAUAGGAAUAAUUUCUUGUCACUGUACUUGUUGUAGUUGAAGAAAGUGAAAUUUGAUACUAUAGGUUAACCAUAUACAGAUUUUUGGUGUCAGUUUAAUGCCUUUGAUUUAAAGACUGCAUUGCAAAAUACAAAGUUAAGGUGGGAAUAUAUGCGAAUGAGUACCUGUUCCGAUAAUGAAGCUUUGUGCAGUUAUUUGCUCUUUCCCGAUUCACUUUACACAUCUAUAUCAUGUCAAAACAUUUCAUGAUGUAGGCAAGCACCCGGUGGUAGAAACGACAAUCUAACGUCUUGGUGACUAUUCUAACACUGUGCAGUUAGUGAUGCCAAAUUUACCAAGUUUGAGGCAUUAGUCAAGAAGCAUAUGCCCCAUGUAUUUGAGGAUGGGGAAGAUAGUGAAUCAGAUGAUUAGAUUAUAUUGUAGUGGUUGGUUCUUGUUUAUGAUUGUGACAUUUAUUUAGACUUAAAACUAUUACAAUUGGUUUGUGACGUUUAGACUUGUCUUGAAAUGCUUAAACUAUUUGAUUCAA